ACGAACGCUGGCGGCGUGCUUAACACAUGCAAGUCGAACGGUGAAGCGCCUUCCUUUUUGGUGGGUGUGGAUGAGUGGCGAACGGGUGAGUAACACGUGAGUAACCUGCCCCCUUCUUCUGGAUAACCGCAUGAAAGUGUGGCUAAUACGGGAUAUUCUGGGUCUGUCGCAUGAUGGGUCUGGGAAAGAUAUUGUUUCGGUGGGGGAUGGGCUCGCGGCCUAUCAGCUUGUUGGUGGGGUGAUGGCCUACCAAGGCGGUGACGGGUAGCCGGCCUGAGAGGGUGGACGGUCACACUGGGACUGAGGCACGGACCAGACUCCUGCGGGAGGCAGCAGUGAGGAUUAUUGCACAAUGGGCGCAAGCCUGAUGCAGCGACGCCGCGUGAGGGAUGGAGGCCUUCGGGUUGUGAACCUCGUUCGCCAGUGAAGCAGGCCUGCCUCGUUUGUGGGUGGGUUGACGGUAGCUGGAUAAGAAGCGCCGGCUAACUACGUG
rnacentral:rRNA from 1 species